AUUGAACGCUGGCGGAAUGCUUUACACAUGCAAGUCGAACGGUAGAGGGGGCAACCCCUUGAGAGUGGCGAACGGGUGAGUAAUAUAUCGGAACGUGCCCAGUCGUGGGGAUAACGUAGCGAAAGUUACGCUAAUACCGCAUACGAUCUAAGGAUGAAAGCGGGGGAUCGCAAGACCUCGCGCGAUUGGAGCGGCCGAUAUCAGAUUAGGUAGUUGGUGAGGUAAAGGCUCACCAAGCCAACGAUCUGUAGCUGGUCUGAGAGGACGACCAGCCACACUGGGACUGAGACACGGCCCAGACUCCUACGGGAGGCAGCAGUGGGGAAUUUUGGACAAUGGCGCAAGCCUGAUCCAGCAAUGCCGCGUGCAGGAUGAAGGCCU
rnacentral:rRNA from 1 species